rnacentral:tRNA from 1 species
UGACAUGUAGCUCAGGGUAGAGCACUUGCCUAGCACAUGUGAGGCCCUGGGUUCAAUCCCCAUUAUGACAA